ACUAGUUUAGUAAAAUAUAUUAUAUUGCUUUGAUAUGGCAAAGUUCCAUAGGAUCUAGUA
rnacentral:tRNA from 1 species